CCUACGGGUGGCAGCAGUGAGGAAUAUUGGUCAAUGGGCUUACGCCUGAACCAGCCAAGUCGCGUGAGGGAAGACUGCCCUAUGGGUUGUAAACCUCUGUCUUCGGUGACGAAACGAGACGGUAGCCGAGGAGGAAGCCACGGCUAACUACGUGCCAGCAGCCGCGGUAAUACGUAGGUGGCAAGCGUUGUCCGGAUUUACUGGGUGUAAAGGGAGCGCAGGCGGUACGGCAAGCCUGAUGUGAAAGCCCGCGGCCCAACCGCGGGACUGCAUUGGGAACUACCGGGCUGGAGUGCCGGGGAGGUAGGCGGAAUUCCUAGGGUAGCGGUGAAAUGCGGAGAUAUUAGGAGGAACACCAGUGGGGAAGGCGGCCUACUGGACGGUGGCUGACGCUGAGGCUCGAAAGCGUGGGGAGCAAACAGGAUUAGAUACCCCAGUAGUC
rnacentral:rRNA from 1 species